rnacentral:rRNA from 11 species
CCGAAGUCGCGGUAGCCUCUCCUAGGCUAGGUAGCGAAACGUUUUGUAGGCCAGAGAAGAUUUAUUGUAAAAUAAUAUUGGAGGUUUCAAAAUUGAUUAUGCUGGAAUGAGUAACGAAAUAGUAAGUGAGAAGCUUACUCGCCAAAAACCCAAGGUUUUCUUCGGAAUUAUGUAUGCGGAGAUACAAUCGGCCCCUUAUUUUACGACCGAAUGGUUGUUAAGAUGGGAUUAUUAUUUUGGUGGUGUGACAGAUUUUCUCGCUUGUGAAAUUAAAUUUGCUCGCAAGGUUUUCUCAGGAAAAAGCACUGCUUCAGUUUUUUGUAGUACAAAAACUUUAUAAAACCGUACUUAAAACCGACACUGGUGGGUUCGUAGAUGAACUACAAAGGCGCUCGAGAUAACAGCUUAAAAGGAACUCGGCAAAAUAACUUCGUAACUUCGGGAGAAGAAGGGCUCAUGAAAGUAACCUUUUUUGAGUGGCACAAAAUUGGGGUGAAGGACUGUUUAACAAAAACACAGGACCCUGCAAACUUAAUUACAACGUAUAGGGUCUGAUGUCUGUCCGGUGCGGUCUGAUGAAAUAGGGAAGAUUUUCGUUUUCCUUUUUAAAUAACCGUAAACGACAGCAGUAACUCUAACUGUUCGAAGGUAGCGAAAUUCCUUGGCUUUUAAUUGAAGUCCUUGCAUGAAUGACAUAACUACUCACCCACUGUCUCUUAAGCUGGCUCGGUGAAAUUGAAAUCCAAGUGAAGAUGCUUGGGUACUCUCGGUGGACAAGAAGACCCCGUGCCGCUUUACUGAAACCGGUUAUGAACAUUUUAAUUUGUAUGUGUAGAAUAGGUGGUAGCUUUUAAAAGCGUCCUGUGAAAUACCACCCUUACAAAUUAUACGUGUUUUAUAUCAAGCGAUUUGUUAGACAGUUGCCGGUUGUUAGUUUUCCUGGGGUGGGAGGCUCCUAAAGAGUAACGGAGCUGUGCAUAAGGUAAGCUUGGGUCUUUGUAGAACCCUUAAAGCGCAAUGGUAUAAGCUUGCUUGACUGCGAGAUUAACAGAUCGAGCAGAAACUUCAAUGUUGGCCAUAGUGACCCGAUGAUUCUAAAUGGAAAGGUCAUCGAUCAACGGAUAAAAGUCACGCCGGGGAUAACAGGCUGCUUGUUUCUAAGAGCACUUAUCGAUGAAACAGUUGGGCACCUCGAUGUUGACUUGGGUUGUCCUGGAGGCUGAAUACGGUCCCAAGGGUACGGCUGUUCGCCGUAUAAAAACCUACAUGAGUUGAGUUCAGAACGUUGUGAAACAGUUCGGUUUAAAUCCCCGAGGGUUGCUAAAUUUGAGAGGUCUUGACCUUAGUACGAGAGGACCGGGGAGACUCUGCCUCUAGUUCAGGAGUUGUCUUAUUUUUAACAACAAGGCACGGCUUCUAAGCCACGCAGAGAAGUAAAGUACUGCUGAAAGCAUCUAAAGCGGGAAAUUUACCUCAAAAUAAAUUUGCUACUUGACUUUGUAUAAAAACAAUACUUGGAUAGGUUUG